rnacentral:rRNA from 1 species
UACGUAGGGUGCAAGCGUUAAUCGGAAUUACUGGGCGUAAAGCGUGCGCAGGCGGUUGUGCAAGACAGGAUGUGAAAAUCCCCGGGGCUCCAACCUGGGAAUUGCAUUUGUGACUGCGACGGCUAGAGUGUGUCAGAGGGGGGGUAGAAUUCCGAACGUGUAGCAGUGAAAUGCGUAGAGAUGUGGAGGAAUACCGAUGGCGAAGGCAGCCCCUGGGAUAACGACUGACGCUCAUGCACGAAAGCGUGGGGAGCAAACAGG